CGCCCUUCGGGGUGCAGCAGGCGCGAAAACUCCACACUGUACGACAGUACGAUGGGGUUAUCUCGAGUGCAGUCCGAUAAGGGCUGCUUUUCCAUAGAGUAAUAUCCUGUGGGAAUAAGAGGGGGGCAAGACUGGUGUCAGCCGCCGCGGUAACACCAGCCCCUCGAGUGGUGGGGACUAUUAUUUGGUCUAAAGCGUCCGUAGCUGGCUGUAUCCGUCCCCCGUUAAAUCCAGCGUCCUAAACGUUGGACUGCGGGUGAUACCAUACAGCUAGAGGGUGGGAUAGGUGAGCGGUAUUUCUGGGGUAGGGGCGAAAUCCUUUGAUCCCAGGAGGACCACCAGUGGCGAAGGCUGCUCACUAGAACACGCCUGACGGUCAGGGACGAAAGCUGGGGCAGCGAACCGGAUUAGAUACCCGGGUAGUCCCAGCUGUAAACGAUGCUANGCUAGGUGUUGGGUCGGCCACGCGCCGCCCCAGUGCCGCAGGGAAGCCGUUAAGCUAGCCACCUGGGGAGUACGGCCGCAAGGCUGAAACUUAAAGGAAUUGGCGGGGGAGCAC
rnacentral:rRNA from 1 species